rnacentral:rRNA from 1 species
GUGGGGAAUUUUGGACAAUGGGGGCAACCCUGAUCCAGCAAUGCCGCGUGCAGGAAGAAGGCCUUCGGGUUGUAAACUGCUUUUGUACGGAACGAAACGGUCCUGGUUAAUACCUGGGGCUAAUGACGGUACCGUAAGAAUAAGCACCGGCUAACUACGUGCCAGCAGCCGCGGUAAUACGUAGGGUACAAGCGUUAAUCGGAAUUACUGGGCGUAAAGCGUGCGCAGGCGGUUUUGUAAGACAGGCGUGAAAUCCCCGGGCUCAACCUGGGAAUGGCGCUUGUGACUGCAAGGCUGGAGGGCGGCAGAGGGGGAUGGAAUUCCGCGUGUAGCAGUGAAAUGCGUAGAUAUGCGGAGGAACACCGAUGGCGAAGGCAAUCCCCUGGGCCUGCACUGACGCUCAUGCACGAAAGCGUGGGGAGCAAACAGGAUUAGAAACCCCGGUAGUCC